rnacentral:snoRNA from 1 species
GCUACAGUGUCGCAGAUAGUCAGAGCCUCGCUUUUCGGCUGAUGGCUUAAGUAAAGUAUAUUCCAUAACCUUUUUGUAGCGGUAUUUACUGCAGUGAUCAUUUAGACAGACCAUACUUUACACAAUU